rnacentral:rRNA from 1 species
UACGUAGGGUGCGAGCGUUAAUCGGAAUUACUGGGCGUAAAGCGUGCGCAGGCGGUUUGCUAAGACAGGUGUGAAAUCCCCGGGCUUAACCUGGGAACUGCGCUUGUGACUGGCAGGCUAGAGUACGGUAGAGGGGGGUGGAAUUCCUGGUGUAGCAGUGAAAUGCGUAGAUAUCAGGAGGAACACCGAUGGCGAAGGCAGCCCCCUGGGCCUGUACUGACGCUCAUGCACGAAAGCGUGGGGAGCAAACAGGAUUAGAUACCCGUGUA